AUUUAAAUAAUUAUUUAAUUUUAAAUUUUUUAUAAUUUUAAUUAAAAUAUUAAAAAUUUUAUUAAUUUAGAUGAAAUAAUUAUAUUUAUUAUAGUUUAAUAUUACUGUGAAGGAAUUUUAAAAAAUAUUUAAAAGAAAAAUUUUUUUGUACCUUGUGUAUCAGGGUUUAUUAAAUAAAUUUUAAUAAUUUAAAUUUCUCGAAUUUAAAAGAGCUAAAUUAUUAUAUAUUUUAUUGUUUUAUAAAUAUUUAAAAUAAUAAUUUAGUAAUGAAAUGUUAUUCGUUUUUAAAUAUAUCUAGUUUUUUAAGAAAAAAAUUUAAUUUUUUUAAUAAAUAAAAUAAAUUUAAUUUUUAAUUUUAUUAAUUUAUUAUUAAAUAUUUUAAGGGAUAAGCUUUAAAAUAAAUUUUUAUAAUUAAAUAAUUUAUUUAUAUAAUUUAUAGAAUUAGAAAUUUUUAUUGUUAGAAAUUUAUUAAAAUUUGUUAUAUAUUGUAUUAAUAUUUAUAUUUAAAAUUUAAUUUUUUUAUUAAAAUAAAUAUUCUAAUGAAAAUUUAUAUAGAAAUAAUGAUAAAAUUAGUAUUAUAUAUAUAUAUAUAUAUAUAUAUAUAUAUGAAAGGUUAAAUAAAGGAAUUCGGCAAAUAUAUUUUUCACCUGUUUAUUAAAAACAUCUCUUUUUGAUAAUAAUUUAAAGUAGGGCGAAGGGCCGCAGUAUUUUGACUGUGCAAAGGUAGCAUAAUCAUUAGUUUUUUAAUUGAAAGCUUGUAUGAAUGGUUUGAUGAGAAAAUUUCUUUCUAUAUUUAAUUUUUAAAUAAUUUUAUUUUUAAGUUAAAAAGCUUAAAUAUUAAUAAAAGACGAGAAGACCCUAUAGAGUUUAAUAUAAUUUAAUAUUUAAAAAUUUAGAAUUUAUUAUUAUAUAAUAUUAUCUUGUAUUUGAUUGGGGUGAUUAAAAAAUUAAAAUAACUUUUUUUAAAAAAAAACAUUAAUUUAUGAGUAUUUGAUCCAUAUAAAUGAUUAAAAGAAUAAAUUACCUUAGGGAUAACAGCGUUAUUUUUUUUUAGAGUUCUAAUCGAAAAAAGAGAUUGCGACCUCGAUGUUGGAUUAAAGUUAAUUUUAGGUGCAGAAGCUUAAAUAUUUGGUCUGUUCGACCAUUAAAACUUUACAUGAUCUGAGUUUAAACCGGUGUGAGCCAGGUUGGUUUCUAUCUUUAUUAAAUUAAUAAAUUUUAGUACGAAAGGACCGAAUUUAUAAUUUAUAAUUUUUUAUAUGAAUAUAAGUAAUUU
rnacentral:rRNA from 1 species